CUUUGAUCUUGGAUAUUGCCUACUACUGAAAACUACUAACUAACGUUUCUCCUUCUCAUCAUUUUACAUUCAGGUGAGACUGAACAUGGACAGGGCGCAGGAGAAACAGAAGGAGAGCCACCGGAGGAGAAUCAAGAAGGGGACCAAGUGCUUUGGCAUUCGGGUGAAUGACUUGGCUUGGAAGAAGGACAAAAGGAGGGUGAGACCUUGGAAACCUUGCUGCUCUUUUGCUCCUAGCUGGGGUCCCCAUCUGUUAAGGUCAUUUUACAGGGCGCUGACAGUGCACCUCCUUGCACAAAGGCGGAGGUAGCGGUCCUGCUGCUGGGUUGUUGCCCUCCUACACGUCUCCUGAUGUACUGGCCUGUCUCCUGGUAGCGCCUCCAUGCUCUGGACACUACGCUGACAGACACAGCAAACCUUUUUGCCACAGCUCGCAUUGAUGUGCCAUCCUGGAUGAACUGCACUACCUGAGCCACUUGUGUGGGUUGUAGACUCCGUCUCAUGCUACCACUAGAGUGAGAGCGCCGCCAGCAUUCAAAAGUGACCAAAACAUUAGCCAGGAAGCAUAGGAACUGAGAAGUGGUCUGUGGUCACCACCUGCAGAACCACUCCUUUUUUUGUGGGUGUCUUGCUAAUUGCCUAUAAUUUCCACCUUUUGUCUACUCCAUUUGCACAACAGCAUGUUAAAUUUAUUGUCAAUCAGUGUUGCUUCCUAAGUGGACAGUUUGAUUUCACAGAAGUGUGAUUGACUUGGAGUUACAUUGUGUUGUUUAAGUGUUCCCUUUAUUUUUUUGAGCAGUGUAUAUAUAGUUACCGAAGUCGUUCAUAGUUAGAGUCCAUAAUGCUUCAGGUAUCCUUGUUGUGGGGGGCUGUCCGAUGAAAACAAAAGAUUAGGUUUUUAAAUAGGUACACACUUUUUGUUUUUAAUGUAUAAAUAUAUUAUUUGGGGAUUUACGUCGAAAAUAGCGUGAUGGGGACGGGCUUCGUAAAGAAGACGCGGUCUCGGUUUGAACCUUAGAUUUCUCAUCUAAUGUUGGAUGAUCCAAAUACAUUAUUCUAGGUAGCAGAUGUGUCCUAUAGACGUUUAAAUGAUCCAAAACAUUUAUUCCCAGUAGCAGCUGGGUAUCCUAUAGACGUUAGAUAAUAUUAACAUAAUUAUACGAAAUAUAUAUAUUUUAACUUAUAAAAAUACGUGCAAUUGACAUAAAUACAUACCUGAAAAUACGAUGUCCACCCGUUUUAGAAUAUCUGUAAAUAUAUAACACCGGUUUAAUAUUAGAGAGAGAGAUAGUUCCCAACAGUAAAUUCAUUUCGAAAUAUCAAACAAUUCCCAGAAAAUACCUAACGCACCCAAAAGCAAAAAUAUUACUUUCACAUUGUCAGCGAUUGGGUGCAGAGAUGUAGCGGAGUCAGGCGCAGGACACAGUUUAGAGUAAAACAACCGAGUUUACUCAAUAAAACAAACAAGCAAUAUUCCAAUAAGGAAAAUACAAAACUAACACCUACAACAAUCACUAAGACACCAACAAUCACGGACAGAACAGAAAGGUAAGCCAGAGGGUAAAAUAAGGAACAUGAUGUGGGAAUUUAAAUCAGGUGUGCGUAAUAGAGACAAAACAAAACGAAAAUGAAACAUGGAUCGGUGGUGACUAGAAAGCUGGUGACUUCGACCGCCGAACACCACCCGAACAAGGAGAGGGGCCGACUUCGGCGGAAGUCGUGACACACAUCCUCACCUUAAAAAUUCUCCAUGUGUAUAGGUUUGCAGAAAAGCAGGAAACGAGUUUUCAGCUGGGCCGCUGUGUCCUGACUGAGAUAAAGUAUGGAAUGAUGUUUACAGAGCGAUGGGGAAGUUUAGUGUUUUUUGGGCGACAUCCUCAAUGCAAAAAUGAACAGAUAUGAACGGUAUUGUUUAGAAAUAAACAUUGUUUUUCAACCUUAGGGGGGCUGUCUUGACCUAUUAUAUGCAGGGUUGGCGGCAUUGCCUUUUGCUUCCUACAUCCUCGGGGGAUAUAACACCUGCUGUUUUUGGUGACACUCAGUAUGCAUAAUGAACCGUUAGUAACGGUGUUGAUUAGAAAUAACAUUGUUUUUAAACCUUAAGGGUUGUCUAGACCGAUUAUAUUCUGGCUGUGGGGGUUUGACUUUUGAGCCCCCACAUCGUCUGUUAUGGGAUUUUUGUGUUUAAUGACUAAAAUAUGUAUACAUUUGACUUAGAAUUAUAACUCAUAAAUGUUGAAUGUUAUGUGUUCCUUGUUAGAAAGAAUGGGUUUAUCUUCAGACAGGCUAGAAGGAUGUCUCUACCCAGGGAGGGGAAAGACCUUGGGUUGGUUGUAGAUAGUUUAACAGGUGGCAGACAGUAAUGAGAACUUGAACUGUAUUGCCAUUGUAUCCGAGAGGAGGUUGGACAUUAAAACCUAUGACAUCAUCUUUAUUAUAUAACCUGAUGUAAAAUGUAUUAUGAUCAGUACUCUCGAGAAUAAACGCUAUUGAUUGAUUGAUUUUAA